AUUAAAAACAAUUCUGACCCCAAUAGUCGAAGAUUCAAUGCUUCGAUAGGAGGAGCCUAAUUCGACUAAUCUUCGGAAACUUUCAGAACUUGUCAUUCUCUGCACUGAAAGCAAGCGUGAGUGUCAGGAGGAGACGGAGAAAAAUUUCAUUCACUCUGGUUUUUAUCUUGUUUAUUUUCCCGUUUAUUGUAGCGGUCUGUUCACAGCCUCUUCUGACAGUAAGCAAUUCCAAAUUCAUGUUAACCAAAGAUGAGAGAAAAUAUUCACAUGGAGACACAGUACGCUAUGAGUGUGAUGAUGGCUAUGCAUCAAUGGGAGAGACCAUCUCUAAGUGUGACACACAAUCCUGGAUUUACCCAGAAUGCAUUAGUAAUAUUUAUUCAACAAAUUCUACAUUUCAUUUCAGAAGAAGGUAACAAAAGGUGUCAGGAUGGGAGAUUGGAGACGCCUCCAGAGGGUCCGAUUAGACGUUGUCUCUCGAAGAGCCUUGCGAAUUGACACCAGAGAUUUAUGAGGAGUACAACAUACAACCUCUGCAAAGAAAAUAUGUAAGACACGGUGAAAGCGUUUAACAUGAUUGUAAGAAUCAAUGGACGUUUGGAGUUUUGAGAGGAAAAUACACAGAUGUGGUGUCGUGCUCUGAUGGGAAGAUAAAAGUUGAUAAUAAAUGUGACAAAAGACAUUAGACAAAAUAAACUCACGUGGACACACUGAGGUGAUGCAAAUUUCUGAUGUUACCAAAGCAUGAAGAUGGACAAACACACAGUGACAAUAGCACACAAACACAUUUAUAACCACUGUUUCCUUAGUGUACACGCUUAACAUAUAGUUGAAUGAUUUCAUAUAAUCUUUCUUAAAUUGACAGUUUAUUAUUUUUUAAGAAACACAUUACAGGGAGUUAGCGCUUUUCUCCAUCAUUGAGCAACUUUCCAUUUUAUGUACACACGUGAGCUUUAGAGCUAAAAGAUUCAUUUUCGUCGCUCCCUCAUAAUCAAUUUAAGUGUGAAAAUGACCCAGAUAUGAUCAGAUACUGUAUGAGAGAGAAUUGAAUAUCUUUGACCAAAACAUGAUAUUAAAUACACUGUUGUGAGCCA